AGUGACAGUAGCCGGCGAGGCGGUAACCGUCUCGAGUUACCGUCCAGUAUGUAAAUAGAAGCGUUAUUUGUGUAGCGACUUACAAACGCGCUCUCAACGUUCUGUCAAAUUGCGUUCGUUAUUUUUUUUUAAAUACACAAGCACAGAUAACUCCCAAUUAUUUAUUAUCUGGGGGGCUAUCUGUGUACACAAGCCACAGAAUACAAAUUUAAAAGGUUUAAAAUUUAGUCACAAAUUAGAUUCACUUCCAUAUUGAUUAAUGUUUAUAAAAAUCAAAUGUAUUUAGAAUAUAGUUAAAGAUAAAAUCGGCUAGUUAAUUUCUUAGAUUAGUUCUUAAAAUUUUUAGCGCGAAUUGAAGUUGACACAUAUUGCUAUAUUUUUUUUUUUGGGAUUUUAUGACCUGGUAUUUGCAACCUUUAGAUAAACUGGUAUAGCUUUAAUAGCGAACCACAGUCUAAAUUGUAAGGCUGCACGGGUAUUUUCCUUCCGUCAAUCGUUUCUAUUAACAUUUCGAAUGAAAGUCUGACGAUGGGCGGUGCUAUUUACCAUUUAACAUCUCAUGAUCCGUGAGCACGUCCAGUUAAAGUUUGACAAACAAACAAAUUCUACGUAAUAUUUGCAUUACUUACAAGCAAUUAUUGGGAAUACCUUUUAUCAGACUGUUAUCGCGUUAUGGAUUAGAAGUACGUUUCUGAUUUCUUAUCUUUUUUUUUUUAAUGACAAAACAAACUAGGCAUUAUGGUGUGACUAACAUUGACAUUAUUUAGGGUUUUUAUUACUUUUUUUUAGGUUCGGUUAGCCCAGCAUUUGUUCUGUGGUUGAAAACAAUAAAAUUUUUGAUAAUUAGUCAUAUAUAUUUAUCAAAAUAAGAUAGAAUAAAUAAGAUUAUUAUAAUAUAGGUAAAGAUUCGCGUUGUUAAGCCUAUGAGUACUGGCAAGUUAUUUCGCCUGUUUAGCAUCAAUAAACAAACAAGACAAACUUAAAUUUUAUAUAUUCGUUUAAUACAAAAGAUGUACAUACAGAUACAUUCUAUCAGUAGUUAUUUUUAAGUCACAUAUUUGAUAAAUUGUUAAAAUCAAAAUCAUAAAUUAUGGCGUAAGAAAUUAUUGGUAUAUCAGCCUGUAUCUUAUCGUUAACAGUGAGCGAUAACAAAAAAGUAUCUGUCUUGCUGUUCAUUACUGCGCAAAGCAUAGGUCAGUGGACAGUGUAUAAUUUAAAAAAAAACGAAAAUGGCGGAAGAAAGACGGCUGGGAUCAGAUGGUUUACCGGGAGUUCAAGAUAAUCCUGGUGGAGUCUAUGUUGCGGACGAUAAUCCCGGAGGAGUCCACAUCGUGGACAACAAUAAUCCCGGAGGAGUCUACGUAGUUGACGAUAAUCCCGGAGGAGUCUACGUAGUUGACGAUAAUCCCGGAGGAGUCCACAUCGUUGACGACAAUCCCGGAGGAGUUCACAUCGUAGAUAAUACCGAAAGGGCGAUUAAUAUCGUAGAAUAAAGAAAAAAAUAUAUAUCCUAAAUAAAUUUUGUAACUUUUUAUUUAUUAAACAUUAUAAUAUAAAAAAA